GGAAAAGAGGAGAGAAACAAAGAGGCCCCACACAGACAGAAUGACCGGCAGAGACAAAAUCCACAAUUACUUUAGUGCCGCUGAGACCCCACGGUGGUUGUGCUACCUGCUUCUUUUGAGCCAGCUGCCAGUUUGCCAUGACCUUUCUGAAAGCUUGAAGUUAUUUCAAAAUUAGAAAUCAAAAAAGAAUCACAUCAAUACAGGAAAAAUGAUCACAGUGAUGAGUGCUAUUUUUAAAAGGCAACCGGCUCCGUCUGUGGAUGGCUCUGUGCGGUUUCCAUCUGCUCUCCGUCCACCGCUGGUUUCACGUGAGCUCACAUGGAACUGCCUUUCGGAUUUCCUCCCGGGGGCUCAGCCAAGUGCACCCUGGGUGAUUUUGAAGCACGAACCUGCAUAAUAAAUGCAUGGCGUCUCCG
rnacentral:lncRNA from 1 species